rnacentral:rRNA from 1 species
UACAGGGGGGGCAAGCGUUGUUCGGAAUUACUGGGCGUAAAGGGUCUGUAGGUGGCUUGCUAAGUCAGACGUGAAAUCCCUCAGCUUAACUGGGGAACUGCGUCUGAGACUGGCGAGCUUGAGGGCAGGAGAGGAACGCGGAAUUCCAGGUGUAGCGGUGAAAUGCGUAGAUAUCUGGAGGAACACCGGUGGCGAAGGCGGCGUUCUGGACUGCAUCUGACACUGAGAGACGAAAGCCAGGGGAGCAAACGGG